UAUCGCUUAUGAUGCAGUUUGGAAAACAUUUUCAUCACUGUGUCUUCCCUGGUUUGCCUCUCAGCUGGUUUAUUGGGCGGCUGUGUGUGCACAGUUUAUUUGUAUCGUCUGAGGGUAAAUUGCGGCUGUUUGGCGACCUCAUGUUCAAACACGCACGAACGCGCUCAAUCACUUAACAAUAUCCCAACAUUCCUGCCCCCUGUGUCUCUUAUCACACUUCCUGUUCCACCGAUAAAAAGUUCUGAUGUGAUUUGCACCACAAGAGCUUCUUCCACAUCACAACGUGUCCUUUCCUGCUUCGCUUUAGUUCCUGAAUGAGACUUUCUGCCAUAAGUUGACUUAGAUCAACGCUGCAGGGUAAAUGGCAAGUCUGUUGCCGCAUACAUUUUUUUUUGUAAGUGUAAAGAAGGAGAGGUGCGAACCACAGGAGUUCUUGGCGAAAUCCCAAAGAGCACGUCCCAAUGCCACAUCUACUACAACAUGGCACACAUGAUGACAUCACCAUCCCGGGGCAAGCAGCCAAUGAGCAGCCACAGGGGGAGUCGAUCUCGGGUCACCACAAAAACACUGUCCAAUCAACAGAAGCCGAUAGGACCGUAACCAUGUUUCCGACUGUUAGAGAGAAAAUGGAUUGUCUCCUGCCUUUAACAUGUGCCGACCCGUCCUUGGGUGUAGGAGCCUUGGAUGCAGCUGUGGGCCCUGAUACAUACUUGGAUGGCUUGUCUUCCAUUAACCUUGAUCAACUGACUUCUACAAUUUCCAGGUCCAAAUCAUCUACCUGUUUCGUGGAUCCGAUUUCGACUCGGCUGCUUAAGAAGCUUUUUCCUUUAAUUAGUAUGUCUUUACUGGAUAUUACGUAUAUGUCUGUUGACGAGACAUGUACCGCAGUCCUUCAAGGUAGCUGUAAUUAAACCUCUUCUUAAAAAAAAACUAUUCUUGCUCCAGAGGUGUUGGUAAACUACCGCUAAUCUCCUCUUCCUCUAUAAGAUCCUGGAGGAAAUACAAACACAAAUCAGUUGUGUGAGUUUCUACAUAACAAUGGACAAAGGACUCGUCUCUGUUCUUGUCUUGCUGGACCUCAGCUGCCAUGUCUGACACCAUUAACCAUUGUAUCCUGUUGCAGAGACUAGAGACAUCAGGACCACAGAGAGCCUUUACAUCUUCCGUCUAAAGACACACUUCUUUAGAUUAUACCUGCAAUGUAAUUGGUAUUAAAAAUCUGCACUCUGGCUUGUUCAAGUCGUAUUUUUCGGAUCGAUCCCAGUUUGUGCAGUUUGUUCAUCAAGCGGUGAAUCCUUGAUGACUCCAAAGUUGGUCACGGAGUCCCACAAGGUUCUGAGCGUGAGCGAUUUUAUUUACGCUCUGUAUGCUUCCUUCAGGCAAUGUUAUUAGAAAACACUGCAUAAACGUCUGUUGUUAUGCAGAUGACACUCGAUUGUAUCUGUCGAUCAAGCCAGAUGAGACCGACCAGCUCGUUAGACUUCAGGAAUGUCUUGGAUGACCAGCAAUUUUCUGAUGUUAAACUCAGACAAAACAGAUGUUGAUAGGACCAGAGGGCCUUUGAAGUCAGCCGUCUUGUGAUCUCUGGUGAUCUGGUAUCCAGGAGAGGGAUCCCUCCUCUGCCGUUCCCCCCAAGGUCUGAUGCAAAUUAGUGAUUUACGAUUCUUGGCUAUAUAAAAUAAAAUGAAUUGAAUGGAAUUGAAUUGAAUUGUUUUGUAUGUUACUGGUCUUCCCUCUAAGAAUUUGCAUACUGCAAACACAAGCAGAGAAUACUCAAACCAAAACUGGUUAAACCGCCCUGACCACUUUCAGUUUAACUUUCGCUUUCCUACCAGCUCGUCUCCCAAACAAACAGUUGCUUAAAAAAAAAGGAAUCCACAACUGUGAAAAUUAUGCAAUUAAAGCAAUAAAUACAUAUCGCCACAAUAAUCCACAAACAACGCAUUCAACAAGACAUUUGCCAUUUUUAAUCAAAUCAAUUUCAUUUUUUAUUCCUUAAAACUGGAUUGGGAAUUUUCUCCACAGACUUCCACUUCAGUCAGAAACAGAAUUGGAGAAUUCUUGAUCAUAUUCAUUUGCUUGUGUGGACAGGCUGGCCCAUUUCACUACUUUUAUCACAGUUCAAUUUUUGUUCAGUUUAACUUUACUGCUCCAAAUUGUCUCUGACACUGUACAAUCCUAUAAAGGCAGACAGACACAGGCAGACAAGCUCUUGCCUUAACAGUCUCUGAUGUGUGAAGGAAUAAAGACAGCUAUGUGGAGAGGCGGAGGUGUAAUGUCAGUCUGUAAGAACUGAGUGAGCCUCUGUAGCUUCUUUGAAUGUUCCAUUGGUGAAGAUACCAACGCUUGCUCCUUUUAUUCGGACUUUUUUUUUUACCCCAUUGUACCACUUUACCGAUCCGCAAAGAGACAGUUUGUGUUUUAACCCCCUAACAGAGUCAUGGUUAAAAGAUUGUGGAAAUUCACCGUCCCACUCGGUAACCUUUCAUCAGGGAGGAUGUUCGCUGGCUCGGGGGACUUUUGGGCCUUCCAUUCAGAAGUGUCAUGUCCGACGGCAAAAUGAACCAAAACAACAAGAGGAAACAUAUACCUCUGUCAAACAAUACAACUAGAGAGGCUGCUGCACUUCCUCUACAGAACAUGAUGAGGACAGUCACACCACACUGGGUCUAUGACGAACGCUAGCAUGGAAAUAUAUUUGUAGUUAUUAACGAUAAUAGUUUUGAUAAAUAGACUCAUUUAAAUUGAUCCUGAUUAAGGCAGCGAGGAUAAUGUUUCUGGUGAUGACAUUAAUAUUGUUUUGGAUUUAUGGGGGAGAAAUUUGGCAAUUUUGCAAAUAAUAAACAUAAAUUACAUCAAUAAAUAUGUUUAUAAGUUGUUAGAUUUUUUAAAGACAUAAUGAUGAUACACAUGAAUCAGUUUGUUCUUGACCUGCGUGGACUCUUGAUUAAUAUUUAGCUUUUACUGCCUCUACACAUAUUAUCUCUUCAGCACAGAUCUAAAACUUGACUCUACUGAUUCACAAAUGUUUGUUGAAAUUGAGAAUCGAUGUCAUGGUCUGUCACCUAAAUGCAACCUGAGAGCAACACUUGCAACCAUUUAUAAAUCAUUUGCGCUUAACUGAAACAUGUAACCCGAUUUGUAGAAUGACAUUCGACCCCUUGUCGUGGUAAAUAUGACGGUGGUGCCCCCUAGCGGUCAAAUGGGUGAAAUACUGGUUCACAAGAGCCGCGCGGUGAGGCUCCUUCCGUAGAACAGAGCCAACAAUAAAAGACAAGAUAAGACAUUUGUCAGCCUGAUCAGGUAUUUACAGUCAGCCACUCGUUAGAAAAAGUCAACAUCUACCUGUAAAUUUCUUCAAUUAAUCUUUGUUUUUGUGUUUUAGAAAUGAUAGAGGGUGAGAGGGAAGAGUUUUGUCUUAGAAGAUAUUGAUUUGUUGGUGAUGCAAAUUACCACAGCCUCAAGUUGCACGACAGGGAGUUGUUUUUUUAGUGGGAAGGAAGAACUAUAAAUCCUUCCAGAUCAUCGUCAUUUACUCAUUAAGACACGACGAGACAAGCCAUAAAUCUGAAUAUUUUUGGGAAUACUAUGGCCGUUUGUCAUGUGUGUAAAAAUGAGGAAAUACGAUGAUUUCCCGACUCUGCCCUCAUCCCUGCUGACUUCCCGUGCACUCACACCUUGCCUGUAUGUUGGGACAUGUUUGUGUAAUAAACGAAUACAUAAGUGCUUUUUAUUACGUCACAAUUUGUGACCGCCGGUCUGUUGCAAAUACGCCACUAAACACACGAGGGCGUAAAACCGCAACAGUUGAAUGUAACAUCCCAAUGUAAAUGCCAAUAAAAAGGGUGUUAAUAAGUAUGUUUUUUAUCUCGCAGAACUGUGGUGAGCUAUAAACAUCCUGUAGCUGCAACCUAACGGCAUCUGAUGAUAUAUUUAGACGAUCAUUGUCUUAAAUAAAGCAGUUUAGGCCUAAUGCCACUAAAUAUAAAAACCUAAAAUGAAUAUAAAAAAUGAAAUGAAUGAUAUAUAAUUGUCAAUAUUAACCACGGGCUUCAGGAAAACCAAUUCAAAUAGUAGCAAUAUUAUUUAAAAAAACAAAAAAACAAACCAAACACAUUUUAUAUAAAAUAAAAAUAGAACAUAACAUUAAUGUUAUAUUUUAUCUGGUAGAUGAUAUCUGGUUUGAUAUCUGGAUGAAUGUAUACAAGAAUAUUGCAAACUCAUUUUUCUAACACUCCCGAACAA
ensembl:lncRNA